AACGAACGCUGGCGGCGUGGAUAAGACAUGCAAGUGGGACGCUGGCUGUCGGGUAGCAAUAUUCGGCAGUUGGAGUCGCGUAAGGGUGCGUUACACGUGGGCAAUCUGCCGCGGAGACCGGAAUAACUCGCUGAAAGGCGAGCUAAUACCGGAUGUGGCUGUCUCGAGGCAUCUCGGGGCAAUUAAAGUCGGGGACCGCAAGGCCUGACACUCCGCGAUGAGCCCGCGGCCUAUCAGCUAGUUGGUGAGGUAACGGCUCACCAAGGCUAAGACGGGCAGCUGGUCUGAGAGGACGACCAGCCACACUGGAACUGAGACACGGUCCAGACACCUACGGGUGGCUG
rnacentral:rRNA from 1 species